rnacentral:rRNA from 1 species
GACAGAGGGGGCAAGCGUUGCUCGGAAUCACUGGGCGUAAAGGGUGCGUAGGCGGGCUGGCAAGUCAGUCGUGAAAUCUCUCGGCUCAACCGAGAAACGUCGGCUGAUACUGCCGUUCUUGAGGGAUGCAGAGGAGACUGGAAUUCCCGGUGUAGCGGUGAAAUGUGUAGAGAUCGGGAGGAACACCGGUGGCGAAGGCGGGUCGCUGGGCAUCUCCUGACGCUGAGGCGCGAAAGCGUGGGGAGCAAACGGG